rnacentral:lncRNA from 1 species
AAGCUAGUGGGAUUUCAAAGAUUCAAAAAUUUAAAGCUAAGGAAAGGUCCUGGCACUGAGACAUUCAAUAUAGAAAGCAUAUAUCCACUUCCUACUUACCUAUUCUUUUUUUUAAGGAUAGUUACACACUAGAAUUAGAAACAGAGUACUUAUGCCCAAGGGUAUAGAGAAGGCCAUGGGAUGAGAAGGCUUGUGCUCAUAUCAGUUUGGAGAAUUUUUUUUUUAAAACCUUUGUUUUAUUUGUUUAUUUUUAUGUGGUGCUGAGGAUUGAACCCAGGGCCUCACACGUGCUAGGUGAACACUUUACAAGUUUGGAGAAAUUUUUGAACCCCAAAUGGAGAGUCUUUGAAGGCUGGUGGUGAGUCGCUGGCAGAAAUUAUACUACACUCUUGUAGGGAUGCCAGGUCUGGCUGAUAGCAGGCUUAAUGAAUUGUAGUUUGCUUUCUUUUUCUUAUGAAGAACUCUGCAUUAUUAAUCUUUAUGUUCUUAGUAGAUAUAUAGCAACUGUACUUAUUUCUAUACUUGAAUUUAGUCACUUUAUGCAUUAAUGUUUCUAGGGCAUAAGGGACCUAAGGAUCAGGUCAAGGAAACUGUAAACUUUAUUCUAAAGCAGUACUGCCACCAGAACUUUAAUAUGUAGCGGUAUAUAUUCUAAGUUUUCUAGUAUCAACAUUUUGAAAAGUAAAAAGAAAUGAAAUUAAUUUUAGUAGUAUUUAUUCAACCUAAUGUCAAAAUAUUACUUUCAUGUAAUUAAUAUAAAAAUAUUAACAUAUUUUUCCUUUGAUUGUUUUUUUUUAAAAAAUCAGGUUUUUAUGGCAAUAGAACAUCUCUACUCAAUAAGCCACAUUUCAAAGUCUUACUAGCCACAUGUGACUAGUGGUGGUCAUAUUGGAUAGAACAAUACUAGGGAUAAUAGAGGGUAUUUUCAUUUCAUUUGAAAAUUUAUUUAUUUGUUUACUUUUGAGAAAUGGUGUAUUUUUAGCCAGUCAAGCUCAGAUGUUAAUUGUCCCUUUGCUUUAAGCAGCAGGAAGUUACACAGUUGCUCUUCUAGUACAUGGAGGAAACAGAGGGAGGAUCUUAAAUUUUCACUAAGCUCCACCUCCUCUCCUCAGGUAGAAACACCCACCCAGUGAAGAACACAAGGGCAAGAUCCCUAACACCAACAGUAUAAGUGUAGUCCCUUAUCUAUGAGGAAUAUGUUCCAAGACCCCCAGUGGUGCCUGAAACCAGAUACUACCUUAACCUAUAUAUAUAAUUUUUAUCUGUACAUAUAUGUCACAUAUGAUAAAGUUUAAUUUAUAAAUCAGACCCAGCGAGAGAUUAACAAAAUCUAAAAAUAAAAUAGAACAAAUAUAGCAAUAUACUAUAAUAAAAGUUAUUUAAAAUUUAUGAAUUAUUUGUUUCUAGAAUUUUCCAUUUAAUAUUUUUGGGCUACAGUUGACCACUGUUAAGUAAAACUCUGGAAAAUGACAUUGCAGAUAAGGGGUACCAUGGUGUUGUACCCACAAACUUUUCUUGCAUGGAUAGUUAUGCUAAUAGAUACAUUUAAAAAUGUUACCCCUCUCUGAUUUUUAUGUUAAAAAUCUCCCCAUGAUGAAAAGGCAUAAGAAAGGUGAAUGAGACAUAAAUAACUUGGAACUGGUAACAGGAGGUCUUCUAGGAAAUAGCACACAAAGAAAACAAAAUCAAAGGGAAAACUAGAAAAAUGUAGAGCUUUUAGUCAUAAAAUAAAUUGAAUUUUAAUUUCAUUUCAGUUUAUUAAAUGACUUUGUGUGUUUUGGGAAAUCAGUCAUGUCUUCUACCUUAUGAAAUUCCUCCCUGACCACAAUCAACAUUGUUCUAAGCACUUUAAAAAUAUUAUUUAAUCCUUAUAACAGUCCUAUACCUUUUAUAAUAAGAAGUUUGAAUCUUAGCUCUGUCACUUGCCAUUUAGGAAAUUCUCUGAAUUGGUUAUUUUAAUAUGUAAAAUGUAGAUAAAACAUGACUCAUCUAAUAAGAUUACUGUGAAAAUUAACUUGAGGUCAUGGUGGCACUGUGGCAUACAAUAAACUCUCAAUAUACAUUGCUACUCUUAUUGGUGACAAAUAGCUACUUUGUAAACCUUGAGAUAACAGGUUACAAACACUAUGGUAAGGAGGUCACAGGGUUAGGACCUCUGCUUCUGGUUCACAUAGUGGCUUUUUCUUUAAAGAAUCCACUCUGGUGGGUCCAGUGGAACAAACCAGCUCUUGAGAGACUGAGGAAGGAGGAUGGCAAGUUCAAGACCAGCCUGGACAAUUUAAUGAGGACCUGUUUAAAAGGAAAAAAAAAAUGAAAGUGCUGGGAUGGUAGAGGAUUCCUGGGUUCAAUCUCUAGUACUGCAAGAAAAAAAAAAUCACAGUUUCUUGUCCAUGUACUAGAAAGUUUUGGAGCCUGUAUUAACCUUCAAAGCAUUAGGGAACUCUUAUGUAAGAGUGCCUAAAUCAAGAAUUCACCCCAACCUCACUAACAUUUUUAAAGCAAUUGAUUAAUGAAUAGGAGUACAGGCACAUUAUACAAAAUUCAAGAGAAUAUAAAAUCAGAGAAACUGUAUAGUUUUGCCAGUGUUUUUGUAUACCCAUUAGAGGUAUUGUGUGGAUAUUCAAGUUCUGUCUGUCUCUGUCUCUCACACACACAUACUCACACACCCCUUCAAAUACAAUCUACAUUGCUUAACAACAGGGUUACAUUCUGAGAUGCACAGUUAAGAGAUCUCAUUGUCUGAACAUCACAGAAUGUUCUCGCACAAGUUAAGAUGACUGUGAUGUUACCAGGCAGUCUAAUCCCACAGGGCUGCCAAAGUUUAUAAUUUAUUUUUGACAGAGACAUUGUUAUGUGGCACCUACCUGUACUCAUUUAACAAAUAUACACAAUAUUCUGUUGUUUUUACUGAGAUACCCCCCAAGCUCUAAGCACUUAUAAAGAGUUCUAGUUUAAGAAUAUUGAUUUUCCUGAGGGGCAUCUUCUUAUGGGCUCAUGCUGGCUAUUGACUUUGUUGGUGGUAAGUAUGUCUAAGACUCCAGGGAAGUCAAUAAUCAGGUACAGGGUCUGAAAUAUGGGAAAGAAAAAGGAUCAAGGAAAGGGAGGUAAAGCUUAUGAGUACCUAUUUGUGUCAGGUGUGACUCCAAAAAAAGUUUAAGUGUGCUAUCUUAAUUUUCUCAGCUAAUUUGGAAAAGCUUUAUUAUUUUUCCUCAUUUUGCAGAGGAGAAAACUGAGGUAUAGAAAGAUUAUGUGACUUGCCUGGGGUAACAGUUGGAAAGUUGAGGAGGCAGAAUUCAGACGCAAAUCAGACUGAAAUAAAAAAAAUCCCAAGCCUAGUGACUUAUACCUGGGGAAUGGACAAGAAUAUCAGAUCCCAGGAGGGCAGACAGUGGCUGAAUUCCCAGUUGCUUUGAAUCCUUUAGGAUGGGAAGGGAAAUUAAAUCAGAAAAACUAACAUUUAUGGUAUCCAAAACUACACCAAAUAGGCUAGUCGACAGCCCUUCUCUGUCUCUGCAUCUCUUCAAACAUGUCAACUCUUGAUUAGGACACAUUUUAAGUGGUCAUAGAUGCCAUUUCUGAGACCAGCACACAGUGAUGAUGGCAUUUGUUGGAAGGCAGAUGUUCUGCACUGGGAAAGACCUUAGUCUAUCUAGAGACCUCAUUUCUGUGACUCAGUAAAAAUCUAUGAUAAUUACUUGGGUACUCACUAAGAUUCUUGUAAAUGAAAAUUCCUAAAUUAAAAAAAAAAGUGAAUGUAUUCUUCACUAAUGGUGUUAUUACUAACGGUCUUCAGCAGUCCAAGCCUGUUAGGGCUUAAACAAUAGGCACUUGUUUCUCACAAGUUCCAGAGGUGGACAAGUCCAAAAUCAAGGUACAGCAAUUCAUUUCCUGGCUUGCAGAUGGCUGGCUUCUCACUGUAUCUUUACCUCAAACAGAGCAGGGAGGCAUAGGUAAGCAAGCUGUUAGUAACUUCUUUUCCCCCCCACCCCUUAUGAUUCAUCUAAGCUUAAACACUCCAAGGUCCCCUCCUACUACUAUCACAUCAGGGCAUAAAGUUUCACAUAUGAAUUUCUGGAAGAUAUAAGCAUUCAGUCUGUAACACUAACAAUAGUAAAAAUAAUGCAUUCAGACAGAGCUUAGGUGUUAGCAAAGCAAAUUCACAUCAAUUACCUCAUUUGAACCUCAGGGUUGUUAUCUGUGAGCUAGUUAUUUUUAUUUUCCCUGCUUUACAGAUGAGGAAGCUGAAUUGAGAAGCAUUUGGUGAUUCUCCCAUGGUCACAUGAUAAAGUGGCACUGGUGGCAUGCAAAUUUAGGUCCUCUAAUUCCAAAUCCUGUGUUCUUGCAGCUGCAUUAGGAACAGGCCAUCUGCCCCUCAUAUUAUCAGCAGAAGCAACAAAGAAAGAGCAACUACUGAUAUUUAUUUAGUACUGUGUUAUAUGUCCGUCUCUUUGAAAAUAUUAUCUUUUGUGGUAGAUACUAGUAUUUUCUUUUCUAUCCCAGAGUAAAUCUGAAAUUAUUAGGGUUGAAUAACUUUCCAAGAUCAGAUAGCUGGCACACGAUAGAAUAAGUAUUUGACCCAGGUCUGGCUGAAUGUAUGGAUUAUGUUCUCAUUAAACUGCUCUGCUACAGUGGCCUUUAAAAUGAAAUGCUCUUUGAAACAUGGUAUGUAAGAUGAAAAUAUUGGGCGUAUUUAUCAAGAUUUUAGUUAGAAAUGGAUUUCUUGCCCUUUCAAAGCAUUAGUGUCCUACAAAGUACUCAAUUGAAAGUCCUAUUUUUCCGGCACCACAGAUGGAGGACAGAUGUUUCUUUAUACUCUAAAAGGUCCACUCUCUGUGGCUGACUAGAAUGAGAUUGUAUCUUGUUCUGAAUGUUUCAGAAAAUGGGCAUCAGGCAGAUCAUUUCGAAUGAAAGCCA